GAAAAAAGACAUAAUAUUUGUAAUCACUUAAUUUUGUCCGGGACGAAUUUACGUUUUUUUAAAAAUUGCGUUUUAGCCCCUGAAUUUUUCAAAAAUUACAUUUUGACCCCUAGUUUUUUCUAAAUUUACAUUUUGACCCCUAAUAUUUUAUAAAUUACAUUCAGGGCCCUAAAUUUUCAAGAAAUUACAUUUUGGCCCAAUUUUUGCUAAAAUUGCACUUUCGCCCCAGAAACUUUGUAUCUUAUGCAAUCUUGUCCUUCUGGACUUGUCUAAUCGCAGCAGCAACAACCGAGCCUACCCCUCCCAGCCGAGCUACUCCAGCAGCCUCCCUAGGCCAUGAUGGCUCUUCUGCCACCUGAAAACAAAGAAGAAAGAGACAAAAUUGAAAGGAUUUAAAAAGAGGGAGAUGAAAGGAAGAGAGGGGGAUUGGGGCAACAAAGAAAACACAAAAAAAAAUUGAAAAAAAAAGCAGCAAAGCACAAGGAAAAUAGCAGCUCCACCGCGCGCCACCGUCCCCACCACCACGACAGCACCGUCACCACCACCACUACAGCACUGUCACCACCGUCCCCGCACCUACAACACAAUCAAACAAGGCUACAAGCAAAGAGAAAAUGAAAAAGCAAUAAGCAAUAAGUAAGAAAAAGAAAAAAACAGCAACCCAAAGGAAAAAGGAAGAAAAGAGAAGAGAAAAGAAAGGGAGACAGAGAGGAGAAGGAAGCCGGCCGUUACACCGCCGAACGGAGCAAAGAGCCACCAAUGGUGGCGGCUAGAGUUUGAAAGGAAGGAAAAGAAAGUUAAGAGAAGAAGAAGAAAGGAAAAAGAAAAAGAGAGAAAAAAAAAAAGGAAAUAAAAAAAGGUAAAAAAAAUAAAAACAGCAGGCCAGCCCACUAGCCGGCAGGCCCAAGUCCAGCGCCCAACAGACCGGAGCCAGCGGGCCAGCAGAUCUGACCCAGUCCCUGUCGGCCCACUAAGGCCCAAUUUGCA
rnacentral:lncRNA from 1 species